AGAGAUGAAAUCAAUCACUGA
rnacentral:miRNA from 1 species